rnacentral:rRNA from 1 species
AUGAACGCUAGCUACAGGCUUAACACAUGCAAGUCGAGGGGCAGCAUGGUCUUAGCUUGCUAAGGCCGAUGGCGACCGGCGCACGGGUGAGUAACACGUAUCCAACCUGCCGUCUACUCUUGGACAGCCUUCUGAAAGGAAGAUUAAUACAAGAUGGCAUCAUGAGUCCGCAUGUUCACAUGAUUAAAGGUAUUCCGGUAGACGAUGGGGAUGCGUUCCAUUAGAUAGUAGGCGGGGUAACGGCCCACCUAGUCUUCGAUGGAUAGGGGUUCUGAGAGGAAGGUCCCCCACAUUGGAACUGAGACACGGUCCAAACUCCUACGGGAGGCAGCAGUGAGGAAUAUUGGUCAAUGGGCGAGAGCCUGAACCAGCCAAGUAGCGUGAAGGAUGACUGCCCUAUGGGUUGUAAACUUCUUUUAUAAAGGAAUAAAGUCGGGUAUGGAUACCCGUUUGCAUGUACUUUAUGAAUAAGGAUCGGCUAACUCCGUGCCAGCAGCCGCGGUAAUACGGAGGAUUCGAGCGUUAUCCGGAUUUAUUGGGUUUAAAGGGAGCGUAGAUGGAUGUUUAAGUCAGUUGUGAAAGUUUGCGGCUCAACCGUAAAAUUGCAGUUGAUACUGGAUAUCUUGAGUGCAGUUGAGGCAGGCGGAAUUCGUGGUGUAGCGGUGAAAUGCUUAGAUAUCACGAAGAACUCCGAUUGCGAAGGCAGCCUGCUAAGCUGCAACUGACAUUGAGGCUCGAAAGUGUGGGUAUCAAACAGGAUUAGAUACCCUGGUAGUCCACACGGUAAACGAUGAAUACUCGCUGUUUGCGAUAUACGGCAAGCGGCCAAGCGAAAGCGUUAAGUAUUCCACCUGGGGAGUACGCCGGCAACGGUGAAACUCAAAGGAAUUGACGGGGGCCCGCACAAGCGGAGGAACAUGUGGUUUAAUUCGAUGAUACGCGAGGAACCUUACCCGGGCUUAAAUUGCAGAUGAAUUACGGUGAAAGCCGUAAGCCGCAAGGCAUCUGUGAAGGUGCUGCAUGGUUGUCGUCAGCUCGUGCCGUGAGGUGUCGGCUUAAGUGCCAUAACGAGCGCAACCCUUGUUGUCAGUUACUAACAGGUUCUGCUGAGGACUCUGACAAGACUGCCAUCGUAAGAUGUGAGGAAGGUGGGGAUGACGUCAAAUCAGCACGGCCCUUACGUCCGGGGCUACACACGUGUUACAAUGGGGGGUACAGAGGGCCGCUACCACGCGAGUGGAUGCCAAUCCCCAAAACCUUUCUCAGUUCGGACUGGAGUCUGCAACCCGACUCCACGAAGCUGGAUUCGCUAGUAAUCGCGCAUCAGCCACGGCGCGGUGAAUACGUUCCCGGGCCUUGUACACACCGCCCGUCAAGCCAUGGGAGCCGGGGGUACCUGAAGUGCGUAACCGCGAGGAGCGCCCUAGGGUAAAACUGGUGACUGGGGCU